rnacentral:rRNA from 1 species
GAUGAACGCUGGCGGCGUGCCUAAUACAUGCAAGUCGAGCGAACAGACGAGGAGCUUGCUCCUCUGACGUUAGCGGCGGACGGGUGAGUAACACGUGGAUAACCUACCUAUAAGACUGGGAUAACUUCGGGAAACCGGAGCUAAUACCGGAUAAUAUAUUGAACCGCAUGGUUCAAUAGUGAAAGACGGUUUUGCUGUCACUUAUAGAUGGAUCCGCGCCGCAUUAGCUAGUUGGUAAGGUAACGGCUUACCAAGGCAACGAUGCGUAGCCGACCUGAGAGGGUGAUCGGCCACACUGGAACUGAGACACGGUCCAGACUCCUACGGGAGGCAGCAGUAGGGAAUCUGCCGCAAUGGGCGAAAGCCGGACGGAGCAACGCCGCGUGAGUGAUGAAGGUCUUCGGAUCGUAAAACUCUGUUAUUAGGGAAGAACAAAUGUGUAAGUAACUAGGCACGUCUUGACGGUACCGAAUCAGAAAGCCACGGCUAACUACG